rnacentral:lncRNA from 1 species
GAUGUUGGAACAAUGAUGUGUUGUUUUGUUGUGUUUAGUAUUGUAAAUGAACUGUUUUUUUGUGUGAAAUUGAGAAAGGUUGAUGAAGAGCGUGAAUGAUGAUAUGAAGUUUAGAUGGUUAUAAAGUGAUGAAGUUUUAAGUGGUUUAAUGUUCUUUUGUGAUGUAAGUUGGUGUAGCAUGAAGAUGUAUGCAUUUUGGCUUGUGUGUGGGAGAGUGUUUAUGGUGAAGAUGUUGGUUGUUGUUGACGUGAUGGAGUAUGACAUGAG